AAGGAGUUAGUUAAAUUAAAAUAACAUUAGAGUGUCAAUCUAAAAUUACUAAUUAAAUAGUACACCUUG
rnacentral:tRNA from 1 species